GUAGUUGGAUUUCGGUUAAGAGCGACCGGUCCGCCGUUUGGUGUCUUUGGUUGGUUUAACUUCCUGUAGAGGACGUGUUCUGGGCUUAACGGUCUGGACUCGGAGUCUACGUGGUUACUUUGAAAAAAUUAGAGUGUUCAAAGCGGGCUUACGCUUGAAUAUUUCAGCAUGGAAUAACACUAUAGGACUCCUGUCCUAUUUCGUUGGCCUCGGGACGGGAGUAAUGAUUAAGAGGAACAGAUGGGGGCAUUCGUAUUUCAUUGUCAGAGGUGAAAUUCUUGGAUUUAUGAAAGACGAACUUCUGCGAAAGCAUUUGCCAAGGAUGUUUUCAUUAAUCAAGAACGAAAGUUGAUUGGCUCGAAGAUGAUUAAAUACCAUCCUAGUCUCAACCAUAAACA
rnacentral:rRNA from 1 species